rnacentral:rRNA from 1 species
UGGGGAAUAUUGCACAAUGGGGGAAACCCUGAUGCAGCGACGCCGCGUGAGUGAUGAAGUAUUUCGGUAUGUAAAGCUCUAUCAGCAGGGAAGAAAAUGACGGUACCUGACUAAGAAGCCCCGGCUAACUACGUGCC